rnacentral:ncRNA from 1 species
AAUAACUAGGUCUGUGGUUGAAAAUCGAUGCCAGUCGCAGGCAAAACGAUCCACGUAAGCAGAGCAAGGCUCUACGAUCAUGGUGCGGCUUAGAGGUAAGUCCGUCCAGCAUGGCAUGUAAUUAAUCUGCUAUAUGCUGAGAGAGGUAGUAGUGAGGGACUCAAAUGUUGGUAGCGAAACCUCCAGACGGCGAGUGUGGGGACAAAGACCAGGUCAGCUAGAAAUG